ACCUGGGAUAGUUCAGUUGGUGGGGCAGGAGAUUCUUAACCUUGGGGUCAUGGGUUCGAGCCCCACGUUGGGCA